rnacentral:rRNA from 1 species
AGGGGAAUAUUGCACAAUGGAGGGAACUCUGAUGCAGCGACGCCGCGUGAGUGAUGAAGGAAUUCGUUUCGUAAAACUCUGUUCUAUGGGAAGAAAAGGACUGUACCAUAGGAGAAAGCUCCGGCUAAAUACGUGCCAGCAGCCGCGGUAAUACGUAUGGAGCGAGCGUUGUCCGGAAUUAUUGGGCGUAAAGGGUGCGCAGGCGGCUUUACAAGUUGGAUGUGAAAUAUUGUGGCUCAACCACAAACGUGCAUCCAAAACUGCAAAGCUUGAGUUAAGGAGAGGUAAGUGGAAUUCCUGGUGUAGCGGUGGAAUGCGUAGAUAUCAGGAGGAAUACCGGUGGCGAAGGCGACUUACUGGACUUAAACUGACGCUCAGGCACGAAAGCGUGGGGAGCAAACAGG